CCCUGGCGCCGGGCGGCCGCGGCCAUGGCGUACGCCUGUCUGUUCAAGUACAUUAUCAUCGGCGACACAGGCGUUGGUAAAUCAUGCUUAUUGCUACAGUUUACAGACAAGAGGUUUCAGCCAGUGCAUGACCUUACUAUUGGUGUAGAGUUCGGUGCUCGAAUGAAAACUAUUGAUGGGAAACAGAUAAAACUUCAUAUUUGGGGUACAGCAGGUCAGGAGUCCUUUCGUUCCAUCACAAGGUCGUAUUACAGAGGUGGAGCAGGGACUUUACUAGUGUGUGAUAUUAUAAGGAGAGACACAUUCAACCACUUGACAACCUGGUUAGAGUAUGCCCGCCAGCAUUCCAAUUCCCACAUGGUCAUUAUGCUUACUGGAAAUAAAAGUGAUUUAUAAUUUAGAAGAGAAGUAAAAAAAGGUGAAGCUUUUGCACGAGAACAUGGACUUAUCUUCAUGGACACUUCUGCUAAGACUGCUUCUAAUGUAGAAGAGGCAUUUAUUAACAGCAAAGGAAAUUUAUGAAAAAAUCCAAGAAGGAGUCUUUGACGUUAAUAAUGAGGCAAAUGGUAUUAAAAUUGGCCGUCAGCAUGCUGCUACUGACGCCACGCACGCAGCACGCAGGCAGUCAGAGAGGACAGCCCGCCGGGGGAGGCUGCUGUUGAGUCUGUUUUUACUGUCUCGCUGCCCAGAAGAGGCUACUCACCUAUUCUUUCACCCACCUGCUCAGCUGAGACAUGAAACUCUUCGAAAUGGCUUUAUGUCACAGAAGAAGACUUUAAUCCUUCAAAUUCUUGUGUAACUUUGAAUAAAUGGUUAACGUUCACUUAAAAAGACAGAUUUUGGAGAUUGUAUUCAUAUCUAUUUGCAUUUGAUUUCUAGGUCAAUUGACGUGAUUAUUUUUGUUCAAUGUUGUCUUGUGCCCUUACCUACGAACUGAAUUGUAUUGAACACUACGAAGUCAUCCUGAGUAUUUUAAAUCGGUUUGUGUAGUUAGGUGUCCCCACACCUGUGGUUACCUAAUGUUUAAUAUUAUGGAACUGUCCUCAAAAGUUUGUCAAUUUUCAAGGCUAUAAGGAAAACAGAAGGACUCUUUUAAUUCUGUAUUUUAUCAAUUACUUUCUGUAUAUAUAGUUUAAUAACCUGCUUGGGUGUAAUUUGCCAAGCUUGGAUUCUUUAAUGCAUUUGCAUAAAUUCUAUACCGUUUAGAGCUUACCGCUACAGAAGCAUCGUUAGGAAUUGCUUGGACACUGAAUUUUAAACUUUUUGACAUUGUUAACAAGCAUGUUCAUCUUUUUCUUGUCACUAGUCCGAGAGAAAUAUGCUUAAUGUACUUUCUAAAGGCUAUGUGUGUGUUAACCUGUUUUAAUGCCAAAAGUUUGCUGUUUGUCCACAGUUCUUUAAGACCUCUUCAGAAAAGGAUUUAUUUGCCUUAAUGCAUACUGUUGGGUAAAAACACAGUAUAAUGAGUGAGGUGGGUGGAAGAAAGAACUGCCCCCACCUGAGAGACUCCAGGAGGAGUGAGGGUCCACAUUUAGACGGCACAUUACGAGGACUUUAAUCUUUCCUUGAACACAAUCACGUUUUCUUUUAUUCACAUGAUUUCUAAGUAUAUUUUUCACGCAGGACAGUUUUUCAACCUU